AGCGGGAAGUGUGUGGAACGCUCGGUGUGUCGUGGUGGGAGGUGUUGGUGUUCCCGGCGGAAUUCCCGGUGGGAUUCUGAGCGGACCGUGGCAGGAAAACUGGGAAGGGGACCGGGAUAGUCAUGGGAAAAGCGGGA